UAUAUUCAAAGGCUGAUCGUAAGCCAGCAAGAAGUUGAAACAAACGUUGUUUCUGGUAAUGAUUCAAAAGGGAUUGCUUGGACCCACAUUUGCAUUCACAAGAGCAUGCUCCAACAGGUGUAUAAAAAAGGACUUCCAACCAUUAAAAGAACUUUACUUUCUUAUAAUGUAAGAUUCAGGUGCUACCUUGUCUUUGUCUAAGAUUUUGAAUCUCUUGUUCUAACUGAACAAUUUUUGCAUCAUUGCCUUUAGAGAAAAGACUGUGAAGAUGGUCCCAUACCUGUUUAGCUGUUGACAUGAAAAUAAGACUGGCUGCAAUGUCACAGGUUCCACCGGCCAAGACAUGAACAACUUCUUUUUGGCUGUCGAAUCAACUAAUUCCAUGGUAUUGGAUGAGUUCGAUAAAGGUAUCGAACCAUCUAUGUAACCCCAAGACUUCUUUCCUCCAAAGAAAAAUGGAACCUAUCGAGCUUUAUCAUGCUAUAAUUAUUACCAUUUUGUUUAUGAGAGAUGUUCUAGAUUCCUGGAUUAUCCAUGACCGGAUAAGAAGAACUUGAAUAUUCAGAACCAGAAUGUCCUUCUCCUGAAGGUGUAAGAGUUUGAGCUGGUAAGAUGGUUUCUGAUGAAUUAUCUUCAGCCGUCGAUACAUACCAGCAAUAAACAAAUCAUGUUGCAGGUAGCAAAGCAAACAAACCUUUUCUGAAAAACUCCGAGAACGCCGCAGGUUUGAAUCAAGCGAAAGCAGAUUCGAGGAAAAAUACAAGAGCGCAACAGAUUCAAUGCUCGAACAAAGGU
rnacentral:lncRNA from 1 species